AGCAGUCGCCGCGGUAAUACGUAGGUGGCAAGCGUUGUCCGGAAUUAUUGGGCGUAAAGGGCUCGCAGGCGGUUUCUUAAGUCUGAUGUGAAAGCCCCCGGCUCAACCGGGGAGGGUCAUUGGAAACUGGGAAACUUGAGUGCAGAAGAGGAGAGUGGAAUUCCACGUGUAGCGGUGAAAUGCGUAGAGAUGUGGAGGAACACCAGUGGCGAAGGCGACUCUCUGGUCUGUAACUGACGCUGAGGAGCGAGAGCGUGGGGAGCGAACAGGAUUAGAUACCCCGGUAGUCCCUGUCUCUUAUAC
rnacentral:rRNA from 1 species